GUCUUUUUGAUUAUAAUUUAAAGUCUAACCUGCCCAAUGAAUAUUAAAUGGCCGCGGUAUUUUGACCGUGCAAAGGUAGCAUAAUCAUUAGUUUUUUAAUUAAAAGCUGGAAUGAAUGGUUGGACGAGAAAAUUACUGUCUCAAUUUAAUUUAAUUAGAAUUUUAUUUUUAAGUCAAAAAGCUUAAAUAAUUUUAAAAGACGAGAAGACCCUAUAGAGUUUAAUAUUAUAAAUAUUUUUAUUUUUUAUAAUUUUUUAAAAUAUUUAUAAUAUUUUAUUGGGGUGAUAAAUAAAUUUAUUAAACUUUAUUUUUUUUUUUACAUAAAUUAAUGAUUAAUUGAUCCAUUAUUAGUGAUUAUAAGAUUAAAUUACCUUAGGGAUAACAGCGUAAUUUUUUUAGAGAGUUCAAAUCGAAAAAAAAGAUUGCGACCUCGAUGUUGGAUUAAAGUAAAUUUUUGGUGUAGAAGCUAAAAUAUUAAGUCUGUUCGACUUUUAAAACUUUACAUGAUCUGAGUUUAAACCGGCGUGAGCCAGGUUGGUUUCUAUCUUUAAAUAAAUAAAAUAUUUUAGUACGAAAGGACCAAAUAUUUAUAAUAAUUAUUUAUCUUUGAAUAU
rnacentral:rRNA from 1 species